AUUGAACGCUGGCGGCAGGCCUAACACAUGCAAGUCGAGCGGAUGAAGGGAGCUUGCUCCUGGAUUCAGCGGCGGACGGGUGAGUAAUGCCUAGGAAUCUGCCUGGUAGUGGGGGAUAACGUCCGGAAACGGGCGCUAAUACCGCAUACGUCCUGAGGGAGAAAGUGGGGGAUCUUCGGACCUCACGCUAUCAGAUGAGCCUAGGUCGGAUUAGCUAGUUGGUGGGGUAAAGGCCUACCAAGGCGGCGAUCCGUAACUGGUCUGAGAGGAUGAUCAGUCACACUGGAACUGAGACACGGUCCAGAAUCCUACGGGAGGCAGCAGUGGGGAAUAUUGGACAAUGGGCGAAAGCCUGAUCCAGCCAUGCCGCGUGUGUGAAGAAGGUCUUCGGAUUGUAAAGCACUUUAAGUUGGGAGGAAGGGCAGUAAGUUAAUACCUUGCUGUUUUGACGUUACCAACAGAAUAAGCACCGGCUAACUUCGU
rnacentral:rRNA from 1 species